UUGGGCGUGUUUGGCGCCAAAGAGCCGGGCGGAGGCGAGUGUCGGCCGCUGUGGGACCGGGAACCGUGGGAGCCCCGGGCGGCGUGCGUGACCCCGGCGACUGUUGGCGUGAGAGCCGGCGGUCGACGUGGGCCUCGGGACCGGAGCGCGUAGGCUAUGUUCUGCGAGAAGGCCAUGGAACUGGUCCGCGAGCUGCAUCGCGCGCCAGAAGGGCAGCUGCCGGCCUUCAAUGAGGAUGGACUCAGGCAAGUUCUGGAGGAGAUGAAAGCUUUAUAUGAACAAAACCAGUCUGAUGUGAAUGAAGUAAAGUCAGGUGGACGAAGUGACUUGAUACCAACCAUCAAAUUUCGACACUGCUCUUUGUUGAGGAAUCGACGCUGUGCUGUAGCGUAUUUGUAUGACCGAUUGCUUCGGAUCAGAGCGCUCAGAUGGGAGUAUGGCAGUGUCCUGCCCAACGCUCUACGGUUUCACAUGUCUGCCGAAGAAGUGGAGUGGUUCAAUCAUUAUAAAAAGUCCCUUGCUACUUAUAUGAGGUCACUGGGAGGAGACGAAGGUUUGGACAUCACGCAGGAUAUGAAACCUCCGAAAAGCCUAUAUAUAGAAGAUGCGGUUUUUCUUCUCCGCACCUCGUAGCUUCUCUUCAGUGACCUGAAGUGCCUUUGUCAGUGGAAUGUAGGCUCAGGAGGGCACCGGCUUCUGCCAAAUGUGUUCAUUUCUGUAUCUCCAUACCCCAGACCUGUGUGCACCCAAUAAACAACUUCUGCAGUCCUCGUGUGGGCCUGUGGGACACACUCCUUAGGGAGCCGCGGAGCUACCUGCCACUCCUCUUGCAGCAGCCGCUGCGGGCCAGCCACACGUCCCGAGGCCCCAGCUGCUGCACCAGCUCCUGCAACUGCGCAGCCUCCCCGGCGUGCGGACACCACGCCACCUUCGCCUCCGGUGGGCUGCGUGCAGCUGCGCCGGGGAGAAGCCCAAGAUCACGCCGCCGUGGCGACACAGCAGGCAGGUGACACUCCACGCUCACCGCAGCUAACAGCCGGAGAGCACGCACAGGUCCCUGCCCCUGCGGCCCAGCGCCUCUGCACAGGCGCCCUGAGAGGUGAUGCUGCGCCUCCACGGCCCAGGAGGAUGGCGCUCUGGCUGGCUGGGUCCAUUUAACCACCGCCACUCACGCAGUCAUGCAUGGUGACUGUCCCUGGGGCAGAGAGCUCACACUCCUGAGACGGGGCCAGGGCCACAGGGGGCAACCAGGACGCGGUGGAGGCCGGAGGGACCCCAGCACCCAGCCCACCAGCCACGGGGCAGAAGGCUUCCCUGCACUGGUGCCGUGCGGGACCAUUUUUACUGGACCGUACAUAAUCCAGCCAGUCCUUCUACGGGACACCACUUAAAUCUCUUUGGUUCUGGAGGCUUCCCCUAGAACACACAGGACUUCCUUGGCACCCUCCCUGGCCAUGUCAGCCCUCACACACCCCUGUGGCCCCACAGAUGGCAGUCUUGACUCUGUCAAGAGUCACACCCAAGGCAAGGGUCAGAGGGAUGGGGAGGGUACAGCUCUGGCCACUCAGGGGCAAGAGCAAGCUCGUACUGUGUGGCUAUUCCAAGGACAGGGGUCAUCCCAGAGCGGCACACCGCACACAGUCUCCAGAACCACUCCCGGGCUCUUCUGGGAAAGUGCCAUGUGAUGACCAGGUCAGAUGACCAGGACACACUCUCAGAGACGCCUAGUCUUCAUCCACAGACACUGAAGACUCUUCAGAGGCACGGACGUGAAACAGAGCUUCAGUGCUGUGCUCCGAGUGCCCCCUGCCACCGUGAGGCCAGGUGUGGGUGCUCCUGCUGACAGCACCACUGGGCCCCCAUGCACCAACAUGAAGGACAGGCUCUGCGACCUGACCCAGCUGUACCUUCAGGUGACACCCGCCCCAAUGCCCCUGGACUGCAACAGCAACCCGAGCCACCAGGUGAAGACAGCCAGUGAGCCCACAGCCCUGAAGGAGAAGGGUGGCACACCCAAGAGCACUGCUCUGCCUCUGGAUAGCUUGACCAACCCUGUACGACGCUCGACUUCCGUGCCCAGCUGUGCAACCUCAGGCCAGCCCAAUAACCUCUCUGGGCCAGACCAGUCCUGGCAACGUGCUGUCAGUGCCCAACGGCACUGAAUUUCUUCCUGGCUGAGACCAAGCCACCGGCCAUCAUGCACACCCACCUGGUCUUGACUUUCUUCAAGGGUCUCUCUCAGCUGUGACUGUGACAGUCUCAGGCUCUGACAUUCCUGAUUCAUGUGUUCAAGUUCCAGCUCAAGUUUUUGGAUUUGCUCACUCUGUUUUUAAAAAAUCAAUUUCACAAAUAUAAGAAAUCUCCUCAGCA